UAGGGGGCGUAGCAAUACGUCACCGGCGGACGGGUGCGUAACACGUGGGAAUGUACCUAUUGGUUCGGAACAACGCAGGGAAACUUGCGCUAAUACCGAAUGUGCCCUUACGGGGAAAGAUUUAUCGCCAAUGGAUCAGCCCGCGUCCGAUUAGCUAGUUGGUGGGGUAAAAGCCCACCAAGGCGACGAUCGGUAGCUGUUCUGAGAGGAAGAUCAGCCACACUGGGACUGAGACACGGCCCAGACUCCUACGGGAGGCAGCAGUUGGGAAUCUUGGACAAUGGGGGAAACCCUGAUCCAGCCAUGCCGCGUGAGUGAUGAAGGCCUUCGGGUUGUAAAACUCUUUCGACGGGGACGAUAAUGACGGUACCCGUAGAAGAAGCUCCGGCUAACUUCGUG
rnacentral:rRNA from 1 species